CUCUGAGUAUGCCCACCCUGAGGUAAGCGCGUGCGUGAUACCAAUAAUAAAAAAAAAUCCAUCAUCAACAGAUCCUAUGAUUCAACAUGGAAACCGGGCAGAGAAAACGCUCGGCUUACUUCACCCCACUUGAAAUAGAUAUUCUGCUGGGUGUAUAUGGCGAGUACGAACACAUUUUUAGGAAGAAAGGCAACACGGCUGCAGCAGCAAAGGAGAGAGAACUGGCGUGGGAGAGAAUUGCAGCGCGGGUAAAUGCGUGCAAUCCCACGGGAACAAAAAGGACUUGGCAGCAGCUGAAAAUGAAAUAUAAAAACAUAGUUCAAACAGCUAACAGAAAGAAGGCAGAGGCUCGCAAAGUGGUUGAAGGGGCACCUUCAUCCAUGCUGAGGCAGAAGAGCUUGCCAAGAUUGCUGAUGGCCUUGUUGAGACUCCUACUUCAGCAGAAGCAUUUCCAACCCUUCCAUCUGUAACAGACGAAGAUGAUGAUAAGGAUACAUUAUCCGCUGAGAUAGAUCCAGAUAGACCUAGUGAGAGCAAGGCCGAACAUUAUCAAGAGGAAGCUCCAUCAACUACCCCAGCACAUAUUAACAAACUCUUGCAUCAUGAACAUCUUCAGGGUGAACAGGAUCCUCUUCCCCAGGUUCAUCCACUCAUAUGGCAGGGUGCUGCUAAGAGAGGCAAUAUUAUGGAGAACAACACAUGCCACAAUGAUGCCACAUGCUCUCUCUGAUGAUACCUUGAGUCUAUGCAGGCACUGGAACCAGGAUUUGAAUCAUGUCCACCCAGAGAAGGGGAAGUUUAAUUACAGCAACAACAAUUCCAAGUAUAAUCAUGAAGUAUAACUGAAGGAUUUGUACAUCAAUCGCCUGCUGUGCUACAGAAUUCCUC
ensembl:lncRNA